UGUCUUCUCGCUCUUUCGCGUCUGCGGCGCUGGCUGAGCUUUGUCUGUGCUUCCUGCCAUGGGGCCCUCCCCGGUGUCGGCCCGCUCGAGAAACCGGGGUAUGGUUGCCGCGGUGAGGGGGUACAGCAUGGGCGUUGGAAGAGGAGGUUGCACGUGGGCCUCCGAAGGAACCCGGUGUAGACAUCUACGGUCCUCCGUCUCAUGAGCCCUAAGGUUGACUUUUGGCAGAAGACAGCCUGAGAAUGGAUCAGGAUGAAUCCAGAUGUGGGAAAGGAUUGUUCCUACAGGUCAGGAGCCCUAUGGAAGUGGAUUGAUGGCAGCUUUGGUGUACAGUCUGUCCUCUACAGGGGAUUUUCUGUUUUGGAGUUGGAAUGGAAUACAAGAUUGGAAGAAAGACGCUUUUUCCUGAGAAAUAAAUCAUAACAGUUCUGAUUGAAUACAUCCCUUACUCUCUAAGUAACCUGAAGACUGUUGGAAAAGCCUGUGUCUAUUUUGAAGAAUUAAGGUUUUAAAGACUUUUUAACAUCCUACUGGAGAGAAUAAUAAAAUUCUUUAAAUCAAUCAGAAUGUUGUAUAUUGGUCAUUGGAGAUAAAGAUGUUGAGCUGAUGUCUUUACAGCUAGAGGAGCUACCUGAUGUGUGGUGUAUGUAUCAUUGUAAAUGCUAGGCUGUCUGGAACACUUCAUUGUCAAGUUUAAAGCUACCUCUGUAAGCCCCAUUACUCUCUAAUUGAGUCGUCAUCCUCCCAUCUGUAUAACAGCCACUACCAUUUCUUGAAUUUCCUACCAGACUCCAUGCUAGGAGUAGAAUUUAUCUGCUAUUAUGCAUAAUUCCUCACUUCAACUGUAUAUAGGAGGUAAUACUAUGAUUCUGACUUUACAGGAGAAACGGUUCAGAGAGGUCACACAGCAAGCGACUGCCAAAGUCUUCCUUGCUGGUCCAGGUCUCCACACCUGAGUCUUCCUUGCCCCGUGUGACAGCUUCCUCAGCUCUGUGGUUGCUGAGCUCCACUGCCCUGCUGACACCCUACAUUUCGUUCUGUGCCUUGAAGUCUCUGAUUUGCUCCUCAGUCUUUCAUGAUCUUGAGCACUGGCCAAUAUUUAGAAAACGUAAAUUUUUAGAAAUGGAGACAGCCUUUUAAUAGACUUAAAAGGAAUGGGCCUCAGAAGUGCCUUGCAGGCUUCUCCUCACUUGUCAUUGGCCAGAGGUGGAUCACAUGCUCAAACAAGGGUUUGGAGUAGCAGUGCCGUGGCCCCAGGGCAGCUUGCUAGAAAUGCCCAUUCUGGGGCUUAAUCCUUGACCCAGUGAAUUAGAGUCCAGCCCCAGCUCCAGCAAUGUUUUCGCAAGACAUGCAGUCAGCCAUGGCUGCACAUUAGAGUUAUCUGGGCAACUCUUAACAUUACCGCCAGAUAGAAACCAGAAUAGUGGGUACUUUUGGAGCGCUUUGAGUAUAGCACUAACUUGUCCUGAUUUGCUCAGGACAUCUUCAGUUUUCAUACUGAAAGUCCCAUGUCUUGGGCAAAUUAUGGCAGCUCAUCACCCUACCCUGAAAUUGCAACAGGGAACUUUCUGGGGGUGCUGUGUUCUUAGUAAUUACCUGUGUGGUGUUUACAUGGGUGUCAUUGUGUGUGAAAAUUAGCAAGCUCUCCACUGAGGUUAGGGCACUUGACUAAAUGUACGUUAUACGGAAUCAAAAUCUCAGAGGAUGAUCUCAGGCAAAACUUCUGCAUACAUGUAAUGUCAGCUAAUGUGUUCAC